UCCUUUGUUGACUGUAGGUUCUAUAUCUUCCUAUUCAGAGUGUCUGCUUUGCAAAAUUAAAAACUGAGACGUUUCUGUCAGAUUACCUCUUCCUUUGUAAGGGGAAGGAGAAAUGUCGCCAAAUGUUCACUUCGUACUGAGACAACUAAAUAAUUUUGGCUUUGUGAGGAAGUAACUCCAUCGAAAGUGGGGGCUCGACUCAAACACUUGCAUAGCAUGUUCUACUACGCCAAGGAUAACGACUGAAAAAACAUGAAUUAUCAUCCGAUGAAGUAUAUCACUAGUUUCUGCAAAAAACUGGUCAAAACCCCAACACUUUUCCUGAUCUGCCUCAAGGAUGUUUGCAAGAACAGGGUUACCGGGAAGGGCUACCGGUAUUUAGUGGGCAGAGACUAGACGGGAAAGACAUCCUGCUGACUAGGGAACAGUUCUGAAAACUAAGCUUCUGAUAUCCAGCAUGACUUCUGAAUAUUCUGCCAGACAUUUGUGGAGGUGGUAAGUCUAUUACUCCAUCUUAUAAAUAAAUGUAAAAUAUUUUUGUACACAAAGUAUUUUUGUAGCUACAAGAAUGUACCUUUAUGUAAAUCUAUUUUGUUUAGUUACAAAAUACUAAGAAUUAUUCACUGGU